rnacentral:rRNA from 1 species
GACAGAGGGUGCAAACGUUGCUCGGAAUUACUGGGCGUAAAGCGCGUGUAGGUGGAUUGGUGUGUCAGAUGUGAAAUCCCUGGGCUCAACCCAGGAACUGCACCUGAAACUACCAGUCUUGAGUGGUGGAGAGGGAAGUGGAAUUCCUGGUGUAGAGGUGAAAUUCGUAGAUAUCAGGAGGAACACCAGUGGCGAAGGCGGCUUCCUGGACCAGAACUGACGAUCAGGCACGAAAGCGUGGGGGAGCAAACAGG